UACUUAUUAGAAUGGCAACUAUUCAAAAGAAAAGAAAACAAUAAGCCUUGGCAAAGAUGUAGAGAAAUUAGGACCCUUGGGCACAUGUGGGAAUGUAAAUUGGUACAACUACCGUGGGAAACAAAUCUCCAUGAGUCCAGGGGCUGUGUCACUUGCAUUCGGUUUACAAAGAAGUGCUUCCAUAAAUCAUGGCAGGUAUUCCAUCAGUCUUUACUGAAUGAUUAAUUAAAUGAGAGCAGUGGGCUUAGGGCUGGGCAUUGCUGCGCUGAGGAAAGAAAAAAAAACACUGAAUAGCAUUUUAUUACACCAAGGUCCCACAAAAAGGUUUGUCCCCAACUGAGUUUGGACACUAGAAACUAUGUAUCAUGGUUCCAGUCUCAAGGUAACUAUAUAUCUAUAUAUCUGUAACUAUAUAUCUCAAUAUUGUGCUCGCUUCGGCAGCACAUAUACUAAAAUUGGAACUAUAUAUCUCAAUAUUUUUUUCUGGCAGUGUUCAGUAGUGAAGUAACAGGAUUCAUUCAUCCAAUGUCAGGGUUGGGGUACAGGCAUCCCCAGUGAAGCCCAAAGACUGAGAGAUUUGAAAUGAUAAAAUAACACUGAAUAAUACAUCCUACAGAAGGAAGGAAAUGAAGCAAGGACAGGGAGAUGAACUGAGAGAAGCAAGGGCCCCAUUUCCACUUGGCAUUCUGUGGUCAGAUGUUUGUGUGGUGUGAUGGAUUUUAUGCUGAAAGGGCAAAAUGUGGUCAAAGGACUUCCUUUUUUGAGCCAAAAUCGGUUUCCCUGUAUCUUCCUCUUUUGUUUCUGCUCUGUCAUCUGUAUAUGUAAAAACUUUACAAUGUUUACAACUUGUAUAUGUAAUCAAACAUAUACAAGUUCUUUUCCUUGACUACAAAAAGUUUUGCUUUCAAAAACAUUAUUUUUUGCUCUGUCUUAUCCAGACUUCUCUUUUCCAACACAAACCAUCCACUCACUUUUUCCAGUGAUCAGAGUCCCAUCAUUCUUCAGCUCAUGGGAGACUCUUAAU
rnacentral:lncRNA from 1 species